rnacentral:misc_RNA from 1 species
UAUUGAUUGAUCCCAUUAGCGGAUGCUUUAAAAAUCACGCAGUUUUUAGCCGAAAACUCCCGUAGCCUGAAAGGGAGCGCCUGUUUGCGGUACAUCUGCCCACCUUUGGAAGCAGAUAUUGCCAGCCCAACGGCAGUGAAGGUUUUU